GUUUAUCUGUUUCCACUAAAAUAGCUAAAAUAUGUUUUAUCUUAUCAGCAAAAGUUCAAGACCUUUUGCGAUUCAUAGAGUUCACAUCUGAAAGAGACAUGUAGCCUACGUGCGUUUUCUGAACGUACGUUCAUUUUAGGAAUCACACGAGACGUAGCCUAUGCGUAUUUGAGAGUCUGAGAGAUGAUCUUAAGAUCCAUUUUUUAUUUGAAUGUGCCAUUAAUGAAACUACAUGAGUGAAUAACGUUUCAACGAUGUGCUUUAACUGUAUUUAUUUAUUUUUUCAAGAAUUAAAGAGAAGAAACAUUCUCUUAUACCUACUCCAGUUCAUUUCAGCUUGUUUUUAGUAACUGCAUCUGGCAGUGGCGGAUCCUGGCAUAUGCAGGUGCCUAGGGCCGCUUUCUUCUUCUCUUUAUACUUAAUUUUAGGUGGUUUCUGUUGCGUGAUAUGACAAAUAUCGAGCGCGCAUAAUGAUCCAUGUAAUGCGUGAGGACGAAUCUCUCCACCCGCAAGUGGAUUUCUUUCACUCACACAAAACUGGAUGUGUGCUUUUAAAUAUGCAUUUUUCUUUUAAUAAAGCUUCUGCUCUCACUCUUUGACUACAAAGCUUGUUCAUAACCACUAAAAGCUCCUCUAGACACACCCCUGUGAGUCACAUCGCUCUUCCUCUGGCCCUCUUUCUGUUGCGUGAAGCACUAAACAGUUCUCAUGUCCCUUCAUCUUAUAUUACUCUGGCCAAGGAUCCGCGUAAGCCGCCCCCUCAUCGGCUCUGCUUGAACGCACCUCAUAUGAAGUUUCAGGAAGGUGUGUUGAAGAUUGCACACGUCUGAGAAUAAACCACUCUUCUAGCGCAUGCUGCUUCUUAUCUGUAUCGCUGAAUCAUGCAUAACAUCACAUGUGCGGAGAUUCAGACUCCAGUGGGGUUUCUGUAUGUGAUUCUGCCUGUUAUACUGAAUCAAACACUCAAUCCUGACUGUGAGCAGGGCUGGUAUUCAGAGGAUGGAUUUAAGAUAGCAGAUCCAUCAACUCCUCAAACAGUGGUUGAUCCUGUUAUUUCUGUCUCAUCUGAUCGCCUUGUCACUUCUUACUGUGUGAAUCUGAAUCAUCAGAUCAUCUGUGAUUCUGCUGAUGGACUUCAUUACAGUCAUGAGCUCAUGUUCAGAGUGAGGAAUGAAACUGCAAAGAUUCCAAGCUCAAAUAUUCUGAAUGAAGUGACUCCAGAUCUCCUGCACUCAGAUCAGUUGUGGUGGUUUUCUGUCCUGAUCUUCAUUGUUCUGGCAUUUCUAUGUUUCUUGAUGCGUAAAAGGAUUUUCAGGUGUUUUCAGAGGGAAGCUUGGUUCAUCUGUCAGCAUGAGGAUUCAGAAAACAGGGAUCCUCAAUCUGAUGAAGAUCUGAUCUGAUCAUCCUCAUUCAUGGCAGUUUAAUUCCCUUCGUGUUCAAAGGAUGAUCAUCAUCAUCAUCAUCAUCAUCAUCACAGUCAUGUACUCAAACUCAAGGCUGAAUGUCACUGUGAUGUUCAACAUGAUCAGGGGAGUUCUGAACCAUUCUUAACUUGUUUAAACACUUAACAGCCUAUUUUCAUGCAUUUCAAUCCCUCCCCAGCAGGCACACAAUGUCAUAAGACAUUGGUAUUUGGUUACAUUUCGGUUGCGACAUCGGGUGACCAAAAUACAAUGUAAAUUCAAAGUCCUAAUGCCAAUUUGAUGUCCAAUGCCGACGUCAGCUGACCUUGAUAUUUGUUGUUUUUAGGUUGUGUAACCAAAAGUCAAUGUCAAAUCGGCAUCAAAUACUGACGUCAACUCGAUUUUCAUUCUCAACCAAAAUGCAAUAUCUGUCCAACGUCAAUCUGACAUUAUAUUGAUGUCUUGUGCCUACUGGGUCCAGUUUUUCACUGUUCUGUAAUCACUGAAAUUAAUGUAAACAUAGACAAACAAAAUGAAGCAAGCUAAGUGAUAAUUGUUCAAUAUGGCUGGGUGGUAUGACAGGAUAAAGUGUCAUUUGAUUUUCAUUUAUAUCAGGCUAUGUAGCCUAUAUCUGCAGAGCUUUGCAGGCAUAAAUUUAGCAACUCGUUAGAGUUAUUAAGAAACAUGGAUGAAUGACAAAAAAGUAUGAAAUGCUUGAUAGAGCAGUAUAUUGUGAAACAGAGCUUGUGACUGACAUCAUACUGACAGACAUAAGACUGACAUUCAGUUUUUUAGGUUUAUUAUACUUGAAAGGUUAAAUACACACAGUCAUGCCAAAAUGUGAGCAUGUGUGAGUAUUCAUGUAAACACAAUCGAUUAUGUUUUAAAUGAACAAAAGUUUAGGGAAAAACCGUUUGAGAAGUGUGCCAAUAUUGUAUCCACACAUUAUUGCUGUAGGUCUUAAAGUGUCUAUUAUUUACACACUGCUGCCGUUGAUGCCAAAAUAAAACCCAAAUUUUAUGCUUUUUGUUUGCUUUUACUUUGUGUCAUGCGUGACUAUUGAUCUUUUAACAUAAAA
ensembl:lncRNA